AUACACAUAUUCCUGCAAAAAAGAGCGAUUAGUCUGAGCUAGCAACAUAAUGUCAUAAUCAUACGCCUACCGAGUAGAAAAUUUAUGUUAUACUUAAUACUUCCGUUGGAAAGCAACUCCAUAACUAUCCACUUGAAGAAGGUUUAGACAACAUGAAUCAAUCUCAUUUAUAUUGUUCCACUGAAAAUCACCAUUCGUAGCCUUGAUCGCCAAAUUGUCUGCUACCUGGUUCCCCUCC
rnacentral:lncRNA from 1 species